rnacentral:misc_RNA from 1 species
GUACUCUUUAGCUGGUGCACAGAUGGGAAUUUUUCCAGAUUUGAAACCUUCCAUAUCCAAAUUUGAACAUGUUAUAGUUAGUAUUGGAAUAUCGCGUUCUUUCCCCAAAUAUACAAGGUUGUGGUACCAGCCUUUCCCAGUUGGAACCUCAAUAGAAUUGGAAGGGUUGUCUGUGACUUUGUUCAGAUUAGCUAUAUCCAAUAAAGGGUUGUCAGAAAGGAAACCACUGCCCCUAUUU